rnacentral:tRNA from 1 species
AAAGGGAGACCUAAUUCGGGUAGGAGACGAGAAAAAAGUAGUCCCUACCAAGAAUCAAUCCCAAAAGGUCGGAGCGAGGCGAAAUUGGCUUUCAAACUAGGUUCUGGGUUCACACAAGACCUGAAUCAGGAACAAGGGCUAUUAGCUCAGGUGGUUAGAGCGCACCCCUGAUAAGGGUGAGGUCCCUGGUUCGAGUCCAGGAUGGCCCACCUGCACAGGUGGCAAAAACAAAGAAAAAAAGCUCCGAAUCAGCACCUUAUCUUACUUAUAUAGUAAGAGAGAAUGCUGGCUCUGAGUACAGAGUCCAGAGGAACCUUGAAAACUGCAUAGAGCUAGGUGAAAAAGCCAAAAAAGAAGACCGCCAG